GUGCUUGCUUUGGCAGCACAUAUGCUAAAAUUGUAACCAUACAGAAAAAAUUAGCAUGGCCCCUACGCAAGGAUGAUACAGAUUCGUGAAGUGUUCCUUAUUUUU
ensembl:snRNA U6 U6 spliceosomal RNA